rnacentral:rRNA from 1 species
AUGUUCAUUGAACUACGACGGGUAGGGGCGAGAUAUACCUGGACGAAUAGCAAGGAUAGCCUGAUUAGAUGUGUUUUGGACAGAGUUUUUGUCUCAACCGAGUGGGCGGCUAAAUUUCCCAUGUGCUCUCUCUUUGCAAAGACAUGUUUUGGUUCGGAUCACGUCCCGCUUAUUUUGCAAUCUGGGGAGACACUUCGUCGGAUUCCUAAACGCUUCUUCUUUGAGAAACAACCGGGUUUUGUAGAGAGGGUGAUUCGUUGUGGGACCACGACCUACACAGGCGCAACCACCGGUUGCCUGUGCAAAGUGAUCCCAAGGAUUAAUGCUCACUGUACACCACAGACCGAAUAUCCAGAGUUUACAUCCAUUACAUACUGGCUUACACAAAUGGGACCAUUAUGGACUAGUCUUGAGUAUAACAUCGCAGCGAAAAUCUUCGUCGAUAACUUGGACCCAUGCAUCUGCCUUAACCCUACAGGCAUUCUGAUCGGGAAAGCGUCCUAG